rnacentral:rRNA from 1 species
AUUGAACGCUGGCGGCAGGCCUAACACAUGCAAGUCGAACGGUAACAGAAAGCAGCUUGCUGCUUUGCUGACGAGUGGCGGACGGGUGAGUAAUGUCUGGGAAACUGCCUGAUGGAGGGGGAUAACUACUGGAAACGGUAGCUAAUACCGCAUAACGUCGCAAGACCAAAGAGGGGGACCUUAGGGCCUCUUGCCAUCGGAUGUGCCCAGAUGGGAUUAGCUAGUAGGUGGGGUAACGGCUCACCUAGGCGACGAUCCCUAGCUGGUCUGAGAGGAUGACCAGCCACACUGGAACUGAGACACGGUCCAGACUCCUACGGGAGGCAGCAGUGGGGAAUAUUGCACAAUGGGCGCAAGCCUGAUGCAGCCAUGCCGCGUGUAUGAAGAAGGCCUUCGGGUUGUAAAGUACUUUCAGCGGGGAGGAAGGGAGUAAAGUUAAUACCUUUGCUCAUUGACGUUACCCGCAGAAGAAGCACCGGCUAACUCCGUGCCAGCAGCCGCGGUAAUACGGAGGGUGCAAGCGUUAAUCGGAAUUACUGGGCGUAAAGCGCACGCAGGCGGUUUGUUAAGUCAGAUGUGAAAUCCCCGGGCUCAACCUGGGAACUGCAUCUGAUACUGGCAGGCUUGAGUCUCGUAGAGGGGGGUAGAAUUCCAGGUGUAGCGGUGAAAUGCGUAGAGAUCUGGAGGAAUACCGGUGGCGAA